GUGGCCGUAGCUCAAUGGUAGAGUCCCAGAUUGUGAUUCUGGCUGUUGCGGGUUCGAAUCCCGUCGGUCACCCCA
rnacentral:tRNA from 2 species